CUUUAACAUGUGAAUUGUAAUUGAAUUCAAACAAAGUAGCACUGUGACCGAAUGUUGAUACACAGCGCAAGGCAUCUAUUACAUCGAAGCGGAACAUUGUCCAUUUUUCAAGCAACAGCUUAAGAACAUCUCAUUCAACAAAACACAUCAAAGAUCGGUGAGUAUGUAUACAGUCUGUAAAACCAAACAUAUGGGAUGUGAAAAUAAGCUGGUG